AGAGAGAUGCCUUCCUGCUCUCAGAUGAGCACUGAGGACAUAACAGAGCCCAGAGACGUCUGAGCCCUCGAGAUUGGAUUCUUUGCUCCAGAAUAAAUUUAAGUCAAAGGUUUCCUCUGGAUAAAUGCUUUUGUUCUUCUCACUGUGGCUGCUGUUGUCAUAGGGAGUGUGGAUGCUAUCUGUGGACAGGAAUGAUAAUGGGAAAAUAAGGCUCAAGGGUCUUUGCUACUGACAUCCUCCUAAUUGUUCUUAUCCAGCCAAUGGAAAUCAUCCGGGUACACUUUAGUGUCCCCUGGUGGUAAAGCAGAGGCUGUGCAGACUGUGGGUACCUUCCUGGAUCUGAUCAGAUGACACAGCACCAAUGCCAGGCACUGCAGAUGGGAUCAGUAUUUUCGGUUUAAUCUGGGCAGUGAGGAAUGAGACAAAACCUUUGAGGGACCUUAUAGACUGCUUUAACAAAGCCACGAUGCAUCUCAUCAGUAAAGUCAUCU